rnacentral:rRNA from 1 species
UGAACGCUGGCGGCGUGCCUACUACAUGCACGUCGCGCGAACAGAUGCGGAGCUUGCUCCUCUGACGUUAGCGGCGGACGGGUGAGUAACACGUGGAUAACCUACCUAUAAGACUGGGAUAACUUCGGGAAACCGGAGCUAAUACCGGAUAAUAUAUUGAACCGCAUGGUUCAAUAGUGAAAGACGGUUUUGCUGUCACUUAUAGAUGGAUCCGCGCCGCAUUAGCUAGUUGGUAAGGUAACGGCUUACCAAGGCAACGAUGCGUAGCCGACCUGAGAGGGUGAUCGGCCACACUGGAACUGAGACACGGUCCAGACUCCUACGGGAGGCAGCAGUAGGGAAUCUUCCGCAAUGGGCGAAAGCCUGACGGAGCAACGCCGCGUGAGUGAUGAAGGUCUUCGGAUCGUAAAACUCUGUUAUUAGGGAAGAACAAAUGUGUAAGUAACUAUGCACGUCUUGACGGUACCUAAUCAGAAAGCCACGGCUAACUACGUG